rnacentral:rRNA from 1 species
AUGGCCUCGUGAGGCUUUGGGACUGGCUAGGGGAGGUUGGUAACGACCACCCCGGGCCGGAAACUUAUCCGAACGAGGUUAUUUAGAGGAAGUAAAAGUCGUAACAAGGUCUCCGUUGGUGAACCAGCGGAGGGAUCAUUA